rnacentral:pre_miRNA from 1 species
AGUGGAAGUGCUAGGUCAUAUGAUAACUUUAUGUUUAAUUAUUUGAGGAAAUACCAUACUAUUUUCCAAAGUGACUUUAUCAUUUUACAUACCCACCAGUAGU